rnacentral:lncRNA from 1 species
GAUGGCUUUUUAUUAGAGACUUCCAUGACCUGCGAGUAUAACAUCAGAGAAGGGUGGGAAUGCUGUACUCCAGAACAAGGGGCUCUUGGAGAAGAACCAAGUUUGCUAUGGAAUCUGCUGGAGAGGUUACUGGAACAAGAAUGAAGAGGUCAUAGGGAUCUCUUAUGCAGUUUUUAAGUAGCAGUCAGAGCUAAAAUCCUAACCAGCACACUCAGGAAGAAGAAACACACCACAGUUGAACUCUGUCAUCCUAUUUUGGGUAAUAUUGGGUCAGGAAUGUAUGUCUUUGGGAGGAUGUGGUGCUUGGGUAGCUAUUGUGCCUUAAAGCAGAUGGUGUUUGAGAAAAUAAAAAGAUAAUAAUUGUAAAAACAAAGGAUAACAAAUAUUUUUAAAAGUAACACUCCUCAAAG